rnacentral:rRNA from 1 species
GACGAACGCUGGCGGCGUGCCUAAUACAUGCAAGUUGAGCGCUGAAGGUUGGUACUUGUACCAACUGGAUGAGCAGCGAACGGGUGAGUAACGCGUGGGGAAUCUGCCUUUGAGCGGGGGACAACAUGUGGAAACGAAUGCUAAUACCGCAUAAAAACUUUAAACACAAGUUUUAAGUUUGAAGGAUGCAAUUGCAUCACUCAAAGAUGAUCCCGCGUUGUAUUAGCUAGUUGGUGAGGUAAAGGCUCACCAAGGCGAUGAUACAUAGCCGAACUGAGAGGGUGAUCGGCCGCAUUGGGACUGAGACACGGCACAAACGCCUACGGGAGGCGGCAGUAGGGAAUCUUGGGCAAUGGACGAAAGUCUGAGCGAGCAACGCGGAGGGAGUGAAGAAGGAUGUCGGAUCGUAAAACUCUGUUGGUAGGGAAGAACGUUGGUGAGAGUGGAAAGCUCAUCAAGUGACGGUAACUACCCAGAAAGGGACGGCUAACUACGUG